rnacentral:lncRNA from 1 species
AUGUCAGAGUUGCACAUACAAACUUAAAUUGCGGUUUUGAAUACUUUGUGUUUGGAAAGAUCAUGUGGUACCAGCAAAAUGUAAGUGCGCAGAUAGCAAGAGUUUCGCGUACCUACGUGGUACUUGCAUGGUUGAAAACAAGGAAGUACCAGACCGUAAUAUUGGCGUUCUUCCGGUACGUAAGUACGCGAAUUAUCGCACUCUGUCAUCCUUAUCCCUGUCUUCAUCUUUAUUGUUAUUGUUGUUAUAAUUAUUAGUACCAUAACUUUGCUUGGUUGUCGGC